GGGUUGUGAGGUUAAGCGACUAAGCGUACACGGUGGAUGCCCUGGCAGUCAGAGGCGAUGAAGGACGUGCUAAUCUGCGAUAAGCGUCGGUGAGGUGAUAUGAACCGUUAUAACCGGCGAUUUCCGAAUGGGGAAACCCAGUGUGUUUCGACACACUAUCAUUAACUGAAUCCAUAGGUUAAUGAGGCGAACCGGGGGAACUGAAACAUCUAAGUACCCCGAGGAAAAGAAAUCAACCGAGAUUCCCCCAGUAGCGGCGAGCGAACGGGGAGGAGCCCAGAGCCUGAAUCAGUGUGUGUGUUAGUGGAAGCGUCUGGAAAGGCGCGCGAUACAGGGUGACAGCCCCGUACACAAAAAUGCACAUAUUGUGAGCUCGAUGAGUAGGGCGGGACACGUGGUAUCCUGUCUGAAUAUGGGGGACCAUCCUCCAAGGCUAAAUACUCCUGACUGACCGAUAGUGAACCAGUACCGUGAGGGAAAGGCGAAAAGAACCCCGGCGAGGGGAGUGAAAAAGAACCUGAAACCGUGUACGUACAAGCAGUGGGAGCCUCUUAAUGGGGUGACUGCGUACCUUUUGUAUAAUGGGUCAGCGACUUAUAUUCUGUAGCAAGGUUAACCGAAUAGGGGAGCCGAAGGGAAACCGAGUCUUAACUGGGCGUUAAGUUGCAGGGUAUAGACCCGAAACCCGGUGAUCUAGCCAUGGGCAGGUUGAAGGUUGGGUAACACUAACUGGAGGACCGAACCGACUAAUGUUGAAAAAUUAGCGGAUGACUUGUGGCUGGGGGUGAAAGGCCAAUCAAACCGGGAGAUAGCUGGUUCUCCCCGAAAGCUAUUUAGGUAGCGCCUCGUGAAUUCAUCUCCGGGGGUAGAGCACUGUUUCGGCAAGGGGGUCAUCCCGACUUACCAACCCGAUGCAAACUGCGAAUACCGGAGAAUGUUAUCACGGGAGACACACGGCGGGUGCUAACGUCCGUCGUGAAGAGGGAAACAACCCAGACCGCCAGCUAAGGUCCCAAAGUCAUGGUUAAGUGGGAAACGAUGUGGGAAGGCCCAGACAGCCAGGAUGUUGGCUUAGAAGCAGCCAUCAUUUAAAGAAAGCGUAAUAGCUCACUGGUCGAGUCGGCCUGCGCGGAAGAUGUAACGGGGCUAAACCAUGCACCGAAGCUGCGGCAGCGACACUAUGUGUUGUUGGGUAGGGGAGCGUUCUGUAAGCCUGUGAAGGUGUACUGUGAGGUAUGCUGGAGGUAUCAGAAGUGCGAAUGCUGACAUAAGUAACGAUAAAGCGGGUGAAAAGCCCGCUCGCCGGAAGACCAAGGGUUCCUGUCCAACGUUAAUCGGGGCAGGGUGAGUCGACCCCUAAGGCGAGGCCGAAAGGCGUAGUCGAUGGGAAACAGGUUAAUAUUCCUGUACUUGGUGUUACUGCGAAGGGGGGACGGAGAAGGCUAUGUUGGCCGGGCGACGGUUGUCCCGGUUUAAGCGUGUAGGCUGGUUUUCCAGGCAAAUCCGGAAAAUCAAGGCUGAGGCGUGAUGACGAGGCACUACGGUGCUGAAGCGACAAAUGCCCUGCUUCCAGGAAAAGCCUCUAAGCAUCAGGUAACAUCAAAUCGUACCCCAAACCGACACAGGUGGUCAGGUAGAGAAUACCAAGGCGCUUGAGAGAACUCGGGUGAAGGAACUAGGCAAAAUGGUGCCGUAACUUCGGGAGAAGGCACGCUGAUAUGUAGGUGAAGCGACUUGCUCGUGGAGCUGAAAUCAGUCGAAGAUACCAGCUGGCUGCAACUGUUUAUUAAAAACACAGCACUGUGCAAACACGAAAGUGGACGUAUACGGUGUGACGCCUGCCCGGUGCCGGAAGGUUAAUUGAUGGGGUUAGCGGUAACGCGAAGCUCUUGAUCGAAGCCCCGGUAAACGGCGGCCGUAACUAUAACGGUCCUAAGGUAGCGAAAUUCCUUGUCGGGUAAGUUCCGACCUGCACGAAUGGCGUAAUGAUGGCCAGGCUGUCUCCACCCGAGACUCAGUGAAAUUGAACUCGCUGUGAAGAUGCAGUGUACCCGCGGCAAGACGGAAAGACCCCGUGAACCUUUACUAUAGCUUGACACUGAACAUUGAGCCUUGAUGUGUAGGAUAGGUGGGAGGCUUUGAAGUGUGGACGCCAGUCUGCAUGGAGCCGACCUUGAAAUACCACCCUUUAAUGUUUGAUGUUCUAACGUGGGCCCCUUACCGGGGUUGCGGACAGUGUCUGGUGGGUAGUUUGACUGGGGCGGUCUCCUCCUAAAGAGUAACGGAGGAGCACGAAGGUUGGCUAAUCCUGGUCGGACAUCAGGAGGUUAGUGCAAUGGCAUAAGCCAGCUUGACUGCGAGCGUGACGGCGCGAGCAGGUGCGAAAGCAGGUCAUAGUGAUCCGGUGGUUCUGAAUGGAAGGGCCAUCGCUCAACGGAUAAAAGGUACUCCGGGGAUAACAGGCUGAUACCGCCCAAGAGUUCAUAUCGACGGCGGUGUUUGGCACCUCGAUGUCGGCUCAUCACAUCCUGGGGCUGAAGUAGGUCCCAAGGGUAUGGCUGUUCGCCAUUUAAAGUGGUACGCGAGCUGGGUUUAGAACGUCGUGAGACAGUUCGGUCCCUAUCUGCCGUGGGCGCUGGAGAACUGAGGGGGGCUGCUCCUAGUACGAGAGGACCGGAGUGGACGCAUCACUGGUGUUCGGGUUGUCAUGCCAAUGGCACUGCCCGGUAGCUAAAUGCGGAAGAGAUAAGUGCUGAAAGCAUCUAAGCACGAAACUUGCCCCGAGAUGAGUUCUCCCUGACUCCUUGAGAGUCCUGAAGGAACGUUGAAGACGACGACGUUGAUAGGCCGGGUGUGUAAGCGCAGCGAUGCGUUGAGCUAACCGGUACUAAUGAACCGUGAGGCUUAACCUUACAACGCCGAAG
rnacentral:rRNA from 1 species